GGAGAGUUAUCCUAACUGGUAAGGAAGUAGUCUACUAAACUACCGCCGCAAGGCUUAUAGGUUCGAAUCCUAUACUCUCCGCCA
rnacentral:tRNA from 1 species